AAUGCUUCAAUGAGAUUAAGGGGAUGCUGGUGGUAGUGCAGGGGAGGUGGGGAAAGGAAGUACUAAAGCAAGUGUCCUAUUCCCAAGGGUCUUCCUUAAUUUUCCUUGGAAGAUUACAUCUUUUCCUAUUAGUGUAGAACCAUACUCAUAAGGUAACUUGACAGCCCGGGAUUUGGCACCCAGCGAGUUCUUAUGCUGAAUUAAUUAUGUUGUUCAUUCUUCUUUUUUAAAAAUCGCUUUUAGUGGGCGGCACCUGUCCCUCAGUGAGUAGGGCGCCGGCCCCAUAUGCCGAGGGUGGCGGGUUCGGACCCAGCCCCGGCCAAACUGCAACAGAAAAAUAGCCGGACGUUGUGGCGCGCACCUGUAGUCCCAGCUACUUGGGAGGCUGAGGCAGGAGAAUCUCCUAAGCCCAGGAGUUGGAGGUUGCUGUGAGCUGUGUGACGCCAUGGCACUCGAGGGCAAUAAAGUGAAACUCUGUCUCUACAAAAAAAAAAAAGAAAAAAGAAAACCAAAACUUCUGGUUGUGGGCGGCGCCUGUGGCUCAGUGAGUAGGGCGCCGGCCCCAUAUGCCGAGGGUGUCAAACCCAGCCCCGGCCAAACUGCAACAAAAAAAUAGCCGGGCAUUGUGGCGGGCACCUGUAGUCCCAGCUGCUCGGGAGGCUGAGGCAAGAGAAUCGCGUAAGCCCAGGAGUUAGAGGUUGCUGUGAGCCAUGUGACGCCACGACACUCUACCCGAGGGCGGUACAGUGAGACUCUGUCUCUACAAAAAAAAAAAAAAAAAAAUCGCUUUUAGUGCCUAACAGAAGCCAGUUUCUAUGUUAGUGCUGGAGAUAAAAUGGUGAACAGGACAACAUAGGUCCCUAUCCUGCACAGACCAUUGUAUAUCAUCCUCCAGUUGUUAGCAAGCACCCUCAGAAAGUGGUGUUUAAACUCAGACUAGAAAAACAAGGAGAGAGUGAUAGAUAGGAAGUCAGGAAAUUUAAGGGACAUGGCCCUUUGAAGAGGGUCUUGAGCAAGGGAGUGAGGGAGAUCAGUGGGCAGAGGCCAAAUCAUCUAGGACUUGUAGAGUUUGGAUUUUAUCUUGAGGGUAAUUAGGAACCAGUAAAGAAUUUUAAGAAAGAAAGUGACAUGGUCAAUUUUUAAUUUUUGAAAAUGGAGCACGUAUUGGAGGAGGCAAAAGUAGAGGCAGGGAGCGCUGUUAAGAGACUACAGCCUUGUCCUGGUGUCAGAUGGUGAUGUCUUUAACCAGGGUGGUGCCAGAAGAGAUGGAAAGAAAUGGACAGGUCCAGGUGCAGUUAAGAAGUGAAACCCGACAGGGCUGGUUACAGUAAAAUAGCCCUACCCCAGAGAAGAAACACAGAAACAAAAUACUUUAUUUUUGCUUCUUAACCUAUCAGGCGUCCCCUUCCCCUUAACCCAGAGGGACGAGGGGCGGGGCAAGAACCCACAAAAAUCCGGAACUUUUAUUCAAACUGGCGGAUGUCCCCGGAGAGUAGAGGAAAGAACAGAGACACUUCCGGUUACUCCGGAAGUGAAGGUUUCACAUGCUCCUAAGCUCCUCCCCCGGCGGCGAGCCAGGGUGAAGUGAUGGCCGGCCAGGCGGCGCGGCUGGUGCUGCUAGCUGGGGCAGCCGCACUAGCGAGCGGCUCCCAGGGUGACCGCGAGCCGGUGUACCGCGACUGCGUACUCCAGUGUGAAGAGCGGAACUGCUCCGGGGGCGCUCUGAAGCACUUCCGCUCCCUCCAGCCAAUCUACAUGAGUCUAGCAGGCUGGACCUGUCAGGAUGACUGUAAGUAUGAGUGCAUGUGGGUUACUGUUGGCCUCUAUCUCCAGGAAGGUCACAAAGUGCCUCAGUUCCAUGGCAAGUGGCCCUUCUCCCGGUUCCUGUUCUUUCAAGAGCCAGCUUCUGCUGUGGCCUCUUUUCUCAAUGGCCUGGCCAGUCUUGUGAUGCUCUGCCGCUACCGUACCUCCGUGCCAGCCUCUUCCCCCAUGUACCACACCUGCGUGGCCUUUGCCUGGAUGAGAAAACAGCAAGGCUAAAUAACUUGCCCAAGGACACACAGGAAAUGCAGAGCCAGGAUUUGCACCCUGGCAGUCUGGCUCUAGGGCUGGCAUUCUUAAUGACACUACCUCCCAAAUCUGAGGAGAGGGUGUCCCUCAAUGCUUGGUUUUGGUCCACAGUCUUCCACACCAAGGACACAGACCUCACAGAG